AAAAGUUAAAAAUGUAGCAGUUAUAUGAGUAAUAUGACGUCUCCAAUUAAUCAAAUUACUCUUAGGGUGCGUUUAGUUCGCGCUAUAUUUUAAAGAUUCAUAGUAAUUCAAUGGGAAUAAAAAAAUAUGACGGUGUUUGGCUAAACAUACUAAGUAAUCGAGUUGGUAAUAUUGGAUUCAGUUGGGAAUAAGAUUCACCCCAAAGUACUAAUCUCAUUCCCGUGAGGGAGGGUGGGUAUCCUCAUAUUAAUGGAUUUAAAUAAUCAUAAUAUAUCUAAUCUUUUUCUUUCUUCCUACCCGCCGGCUAAUUGAUAUUAUUUUUUUUUACACUCUAACCUUAUAUCUCUCUUUAAACUUAUUUUUCUCUUUAAAAUUCAACUUUUUUUUUUCUCUCUCUCUUUCUAAAAUUUCAANUCUCUCACUCCCUCUAAUUUCGACUAUAUUUUUCUUUCUAUUUUUUUAAUUAUGCUCUCUCUCUCUAACUUAUACUCUCUCUCAUUUUUUUCUAAAAAGAUGUUGAAAUUUUUAGUAACAUUAUCUAAAAUUAAAUAAAUAAAUAAAUUAAUUAAUUAUAUAUUUUUUUGUAAUAUUAAAUAACGGCUAAUUAAUAUUACCGUGCGAACCAAACACAGGAAUUCCACAUUCUUAGUAAUAGGAUGAAUAGGAAUAAGAUUCUCGGAUAUCUUUUAUUUUUAGUAAUCUUUUAUAAUGCGAACCAAACGCACCCUUAUGGGAUUCACCAAUUCCAUUUUUUUUUUAAAAUUUUUAUUGUUUUCAAAAAAAUGAUUGAAUAA
rnacentral:lncRNA from 1 species